rnacentral:rRNA from 1 species
GAAGGGAGCUUGCUCCCGGAUGUUAGCGGCGGACGGGUGAGUAACACGUGGGUAACCUGCCUGUAAGACUGGGAUAACUCCGGGAAACCGGAGCUAAUACCGGAUAGUUCCUUGAACCGCAUGGUUCAAGGAUGAAAGACGGUUUCGGCUGUCACUUACAGAUGGACCCGCGGCGCAUUAGCUAGUUGGUGAGGUAACGGCUCACCAAGGCGACGAUGCGUAGCCGACCUGAGAGGGUGAUCGGCCACACUGGGACUGAGACACGGCCCAGACUCCUACGGGAGGCAGCAGUAGGGAAUCUUCCGCAAUGGACGAAAGUCUGACGGAGCAACGCCGCGUGAGUGAUGAAGGUUUUCGGAUCGUAAAGCUCUGUUGUUAGGGAAGAACAAGUGCAAGAGUAACUGCUUGCACCUUGACGGUACCUAACCAGAAAGCCACGGCUAACUACGUGCCAGCAGCCGCGGUAAUACGUAGGUGGCAAGCGUUGUCCGGAAUUAUUGGGCGUAAAGGGCUCGCAGGCGGUUUCUUAAGUCUGAUGUGAAAGCCCCCGGCUCAACCGGGGAGGGUCAUUGGAAACUGGGAAACUUGAGUGCAGAAGAGGAGAGUGGAAUUCCACGUGUAGCGGUGAAAUGCGUAGAGAUGUGGAGGAACACCAGUGGC